rnacentral:rRNA from 1 species
UACGUAGGGCGCAAGCGUUGUCCGGAAUUAUUGGGCGUAAAGAGCUCGUAGGCGGUCUGUCACGUCUGCCGUGAAAACCCGAGGCUUAACCUCGUGGCUUGCGGUGGAUACGGGCAGACUAGAGGUAGGUAGGGGAGAACGGAAUUCCCGGUGUAGCGGUGAAAUGCGCAGAUAUCGGGAGGAACACCAAUGGCGAAGGCAGCUUGCUGGGACGGUACUGACGCUGAGGCGCGAAAGCGUGGGGAGCAAACAGG